GUGGCCGCGCGAGGGGGCGUGGCCGCGGAUCGGUUCCUGCCCCGCGCGCGGGCGGCGGGUGUCGCCGGUCGCGACAGAGUUUUAGCUGAAGAAACAAAUUGGUCUACAUGUGCUUCACUGUCCAUUGGAAGAAUGACAGAUGACAAAGAUGUGCUUCGAGAUGUGUGGUUUGGGCGAAUACCGACCUGUUUCACUUUGUAUCAGGAUGAGAUAACUGAGAGGGAAGCUGAACCUUACUAUUUGCUUUUGCCAAGGAUAAGCUACUUGACACUGGUAACAGACAAAGUGAAGAAACACUUUCAGAAAGUUAUGAGACAAGAGGAAGUUAGUGAAAUAUGGUUUGAAUAUGAAGGUACACCACUGAAAUGGCAUUACCCAAUUGGUUUGCUGUUUGACCUCCAUGCAUCAAAUACAGCCCUUCCUUGGAGCAUCACAGUGCAUUUCAAGAAUUUUCCAGAAAAGGAUCUUCUGCACUGCCAUUCUAAGGAUGUGAUUGAAGCUCAUUUUAUGGCUUGUAUAAAAGAAGCAGAUGCUUUAAAGCACAAAAGUCAAGUCAUCAAUGAGAUGCAAAAAAAGGAUCAUAAGCAACUGUGGAUGGGGUUACAGAAUGAUAAAUUUGAGCAGUUUUGGGCAAUAAAUCGAAAACUCAUGGAGUAUCCUCCAGAAGAUAAUGGAUUUCGAUACAUCCCAUUUAGAAUUUAUCAGGCAACAACAGAGAGACCUUUUAUACAGAAGCUGUUUCGACCAAUUGCUUCAGGAGGGCAGUUGCAUACUUUGGGAGACCUGCUAAAAGAUGUGUGUCCUGGUGCUAUCGCCCCUGAAGCAGGAGACCUCAGGUUCUUUAUGCACUGUACACGUGUUGCGAUGGGUUUCCACGGAAUUUAUCACUUAGACAAAAGAUGAGUAAAGAGAGACAAAGAGGAAGGAGAAAUUAAGAGGCACAGAGGGCGAUGUGCCUUGUACCUGGUCACGCUGAGAAAUGUGACUAUCUAACCUGAAGAUAGACUUGAGGUAGAAGAUGACAGGAAAUAACAAGAGAGGAAAAAUUAAAUGGAGAAGAAAAUUAUGAAUCAAAUAUUUGAUUUCAUCUCAGUAUUUAAUGAUAUUUUAUGUCAAUGAUAAUAUUGCAUAUUCAUCUACUUCCAUAUUGGGGAUA